rnacentral:rRNA from 1 species
GACGAACGCUGGCGGCGUGCCUAAUACAUGCAAGUCGAGCGCAGGAAGCUCACGGAACUCUUCGGAGGGAAGUGAAGGGAAUGAGCGGCGGACGGGUGAGUAACACGUAAGGAACCUGCCCCAAGGAUUGGGAUAACUCCGAGAAAUCGGAGCUAAUACCGAAUAGUUCUUCAGACCGCAUGGUCUGAUGAUGAAAGGCGCUCCGGCGUCACCUUGGGAUGGCCUUGCGGUGCAUUAGCUAGUUGGUGGGGUAAUGGCCCACCAAGGCGACGAUGCAUAGCCGACCUGAGAGGGUGAUCGGCCACACUGGGACUGAGACACGGCCCAGACUCCUACGGGAGGCAGCAGUAGGGAAUCUUCCACAAUGGACGAAAGUCUGAUGGAGCAACGCCGCGUGAGUGAUGAAGGUUUUCGGAUCGUAAAACUCUGUUGUAAGGGAAGAACAGGUAUGAGAGGUAAUGCUCAUGCUAUGACGGUACCUUACGAGAAAGCCACGGCUAACUACGUGCCAGCCGCCGCAGUAAGAC